rnacentral:rRNA from 1 species
GAUUGAACGCUGGCGGCAUGCUUUACACAUGCAAGUCGAACGGCAGCGCGGGGCAACCUGGCGGCGAGUGGCGAACGGGUGAGUAAUAUAUCGGAACGUACCCAGAAGUGGGGGAUAACGUAGCGAAAGUUACGCUAAUACCGCAUACGAUCUACGGAUGAAAGUAGGGGACCGCAAGGCCUUAUGCUUUUGGAGCGGCCGAUAUCUGAUUAGCUAGUUGGUGAGGUAAAGGCUCACCAAGGCGACGAUCAGUAGCUGGUCUGAGAGGACGACCAGCCACACUGGAACUGAGACACGGUCCAGACUCCUACGGGAGGCAGCAGUGGGGAAUUUUGGACAAUGGGCGCAAGCCUGAUCCAGCAAUGCCGCGUGAGUGAAGAAGGCCUUCGGGUUGUAAAGCCCUUUUGUCAGGGAAGAAACGGUAGAGGCUAAUAUCCUUUGCUAAUGACGGUACCUGAAGAAUAAGCACCGGCUAACUACGUG